UUCCGUCUACCUGCUCCACGCUCCUCCGCCACGGCACGCCACUAAACCCAAAUCCCUAAGCUAAACCCUCGUAAAAUCGAAGGUGGGAGAAGGGGGGAGAGGAACGGGAGGCGGCGGCGGCGAGGUGAUCGAGGAGAGGCCCAUGGAUCGUCAGGGGAACGGGGAUCCGGGGAACGACGAGUCGGCGACGGCGUCCUGGGAGGUGGGCGGGGGCUCCGAGGCCGGGGCGGAGGUGACGGGGGUUACCAGGGGCUCCGAGCCUGAGGCGGAGGGGGUCCGGGGUGGCGUCCUGGCGGGGGUGACCGCGGGCCCGGUGGGUGGAGGCUCCAAGGCCCAGGCGGAGAGGGUCGUGGCGGAGGCGUCUUCCAAGGCGGGCGGGGGCUCCGUGGCCGGGGCGGAGGUUGAGGGGUCCUCUGCUAGCUUCGUGGCGGAGGGGAUGGGGGUACCUCUGGUCCUGACGGCGGCGGAGAUGGCCGCUCAGGGCUUCGACAUCGGCGUCGACAUCGUGCUGGCAACCAUGGAGGAGGAGGAGGAUGUGGAUCCGGACGCCGAAGCAGAGUUCGACGCGAUGAUGCUGGCCACCGACAACCUCCGAUUUGCUCAAAAUUCGCGCCAGGUACCCCCUGCUGAUACCUUCCAGCCUGUAAAUGAAAAUGAGGUAAAUGUGGAUCCGGUCGCCGAGGCAGAGUUCGACGCGAUGAUUCUGGCCGCCAACAACUUCCGAUUUGCUCAACAGAUGCGCCAGGUACCCUCUGCUGAUACCUUCCAGCCUGAAAACGAAAAUGAGGAUGAAAGGGUUCCCACCAAUCAACCCAAUCCUGAGAAUGACACUUUAUAUGGAUCUUCCAUAUCUCAGCAGAUUCAAAAUGAUACUUUACAUGGUUCUUCAAUACCUCAGGGGGGUGAUAGUAAUACAUUACAUGGAUCUUCCAUUCCUCAGGGGGGUGAUAAUGAUCCUGGAUCUGCAACUUGGUUCAAGCUUAAGGUCCCAAGUGCGUUCCAAGGGCUUCUGCAGAAUCGUCAAAUCUUUCAGCUACUGGGAAAUGAAGUUACUGCUAUAAAUAAUCUUGCUCAAGGUGUUGUUGCCGUUGUACCUCAAAGCAGUGUGGAUACAUUUCCGAUAACUCCUGAAUACACCUCAUCUCGAAGGAUACUAAAAGAGCAUGGUCCGUCUAAGUUAAAGUAUGGAACAUUUUGAACACAUUUUUUGUCUCUUGUCAUUUUGCUUGUGGUAUGAAAUUUCCAGUGACCAUCUUGGUUAUCAUAUAGGUCUCCGGCGUUAUCAUAAACAAAUUUUUCAUCAAAGGAAAUUUAUGGAGUAGAAGGCGUUACACAAUUGAUAACACAUGCCAUGUGUUUGAAUGGCCUGCCAGACCAGUGGAAAAUGAGAUACAGGCAGUACCCCCAAGGACUAGAGCAAGGACUACUGAAGAGUUGAUCGCCUCCAACGCAGCUGUGGUUGCAUCGCAUGGCAGAGUGCUCGAGUCUAACGCUGCUGUGGUGGAGUCAAACAACAGGCUGACGGCUGCCAUCUAUCAGCUCAUCUCCCGCCUCGGCGAAUCCAGCACCAAUAGGCCAUGAAGUGGGGCAAGGAAGGUUGGUUAGAUUAGUUAGACAGAGGCGCUGUGCUGCUUGCAAACGUUGGGUCGUAUGGUCGAAUGCCUGCUGAAUUGUUUCUAAUGCCUGCUUGCAGACUUUGGGCCCUAUCGAAUGCCUGCCGAAUUGUUUGUAGUUCAAGUUUUGCCACGAUGAUAGAUAUCCCAGCUGGAUGACAGGAGAUAGGUGGGUUUACUUUUUGCUGGUAUUGCUGAGAAUGGUUCUUCUGUUGGUGGUUCCAUUGAGAAACUAACCAGCUGUGCGAAUUGCAAAAACUACUUGGUUAGAGCAAGUACAAUCUUA